GACGAACGCUGGCGGCGUGCCUAAUACAUGCAAGUUGAGCGAUGAAGCUUGGUGCUUGCACCAAUUUGAAGAGCAGCGCACGGGUGAGUAACGCGUGGGGAAUCUGCCUUUGAGCGGGGGACAACAUUUGGAAACGAAUGCUAAUCCCGCAUAAUAACUUUAAACAUAAGUUUUAAGUUUGAAAAUUGAAAUUGAUUAAUUAAAAGUUGUCCCGGCGUUGUUUUAGCAAGUUGGUGAGGUAAAGCCUCACUAAGGCGUUGAUACAUAGCCGACCUGAGAGGGUGAUCGGCCACAUUGGGACUGAGACACGGCCCAAACUCCUACGGGAGGCAGCAGUAGGGAAUCUUCGGCAAUGGACGAAAGUCUGACCGAGCAACGCCGCGUGAGUGAAGAAGGUUUUCGGAUCGUAAAACUCUGUUGGUAGAGAAGAACGUUGGUGAGAGUGGAAAGCUCAUCAAGUGACGGUAACUACCCAGAAAGGGACGGCUAACUACGUG
rnacentral:rRNA from 1 species